CCCUUAUAAAGCCCAGGGCUGAAGCCAGGCUAGCAGUUCCCUGCCAGCAGCCAGAGAGGCAGGAGCUCCUGGAGGAGAGAUGUGAGAAGUCACUGCAGGUGAAGAUAAGGAAUAUGGCAGAGGUCUACUAAAUCAAGAAUACUGAUGAAAACAAGUAAAUAGUUCAUCGUUCUUAGCAGUGAGCCAUUCUAUGUGCUAUCACAAUGGGAAAUGAUAAUAUUUCCUAGAAGAGGAAGAAAGAAGUAAUACAACAUGGAUCAUCCCGUGCAUCUGGAAUCCUCCAUUGUCAAGCUUAUAUGUAGUGGACCCUACUGCACCAU